GUUUCGUUAAAUCCCGUUGCCUAUUUUUCCAAACAAAUUUUAUUGAAAAAUUUCAAUUUUUUUUUCAAUAUGUUAAAACUUUUUUGGAUUUUUGUAAUAACAUACAUUUUCUUGCUGCUUGUGACUUCCAUUGUUGAGAGCAGCUCAGAGGAAAUGUCUUCAGAAGAUAUAGUACAACUAAAGCCCUCUGAUGCGGAUUAUUUCUCAUCGGAUUAUGUCUAUAGGGAAUAUUCAUCAGACGACUAUUCUUUGGCAUUUCCUUAAGCAGUGAGUCUUUUGAAGUGAUUUGAGUGAGGAAGGUCCUGUGACACUUGUCAGAUUAAAAUAAUAAUUUGUUGCAAAAUGAAAUGUAAAGAAUAAAAAAGUAUCCUGAAUCUAAUGAAAGCAAUCACAAAGGCUUCUUAGAGAAUAAGUUUUAUUAGCUUCUACUCAAA